GUCAGCAGCCGCGGUAAUACCGGCGGCUCGAGUGGUGGCCACUUUAUUGGGCUUAAAGCGUUCGUAGCUGGGUUAUUAAGUCCCUUGGGAAAUCCGACAGCUUAACUGUCGGGCGUCUAAGAGAUACUGGUAAUCUUGGAACCGGGAGAGGUGAGGGGGUACUUCGGGGGUAGGAGUGAAAUCCUGUAAUCCUCGAGGGACCACCUGUGGCGAAGGCGCCUCACCAGAACGGCUUCGAUAGUGAGGGACGAAAGCUGGGGGAGCAAACCGGAUUAGAUACCCGGGUAGUCCCAGCCGUAAACGAUGUGCGUUAGGUGUAUCGGUGACCACGAGUCACCGAGGUGCCGAAGGGAAACCGUGAAACGUACCGCCUGGGAAGUACGGUCGCAAGGCUGAAACUUAAAGGAAUUGGCGGGGGAGCACCACAACAGGUGGAGCCUGCGGGUUUUUAAAUUGGACUCAACGCCGGAAAUCUCACCGGAUAAGACAGCAGAAUGAUUGCCGGGCUGAAGACUCUGCAUGACUAGCUGAGAGGUGGUGCAUGG
rnacentral:rRNA from 1 species